rnacentral:tRNA from 1 species
UUACAGGUAGCUCAGACGGUGAAGAAUCUGCCUGCAAUGUAGGAGACCUGGGUUCGAUCCCUGGCUUGGGAA